rnacentral:lncRNA from 1 species
GCUCGAAAAGUAUAAGGUAACUAAUGAAACUAACGUGAAGCAUGUUUGAUGACCACCUUAUAAACACAACACCUAGGAUAAUUUAGGAGCUUUUUAUUGUAAUAAAAUGUCUUUUGAAUGACACAGAUUUUUAUGUUGGCUAGGUGAUGACAGUAAGUAACGUUACUGUGAUUUGUGAUCUUUCUGGGGUGUAAGUAAGUAAUGGAUAAUUGCGUGAAAAUCAAACUAAAAGAAUGCAAUCUUGAGGAGUUAAUCCCCACAUUUGAAGCACAGGAGCGAACCUUUUCUCGUUUUUAGGUCAAUUUGAAUACAAUUCAGAGGG